rnacentral:rRNA from 1 species
GAUGAACGCUGGCGGCGUGCUUAACACAUGCAAGUCGAACGAUGAAGCCCAGCUUGCUGGGUGGAUUAGUGGCGAACGGGUGAGUAACACGUGAGUAACCUGUCCUUAACUCUGGGAUAAGCCUGGGAAACUGGGUCUAAUACCGGAUAGGAGCGUCCACCGCAUGGUGGGUGUUGGAAAGAUUUAUCGGUUUUGGAUGGACUCGCGGCCUAUCAGCUUGUUGGUGAGGUAAUGGCUCACCAAGGCGACGACGGGUAGCCGGCCUGAGAGGGUGACCGGCCACACUGGGACUGAGACACGGCCCAGACUCCUACGGGAGGCAGCAGUGGGGGAUAUUGCACAAUGGGCGCAAGCCUGAUGCAGCGACGCCGCGUGAGGGAUGACGGCCUUCGGGUUGUAAACCUCUUUCAGUAGGGAAGAAGCGAAAGUGACGGUACCUGCAGAAGAAGCACCGGCUAACUACGUG